GACGAACGCUGGCGGCGUGCUUAACACAUGCAAGUCGAACGGAAAGGCCCUGCUUUUGUGGGGUGCUCGAGUGGCGAACGGGUGAGUAACACGUGAGUAACCUGCCCUUGACUUUGGGAUAACUUCAGGAAACUGGGGCUAAUACCGGAUAGGAGCUCCUGCUGCAUGGUGGGGGUUGGAAAGUUUCGGCGGUUGGGGAUGGACUCGCGGCUUAUCAGCUUGUUGGUGGGGUAGUGGCUUACCAAGGCUUUGACGGGUAGCCGGCCUGAGCGGGUGACCGGCCACAUUGGGACUGCGAUACGGCCCAGACUCCUACGGGAGGCAGCAGUGGGGAAUAUUGCACAGUGGGCGGAAGCCUGAUGCAGCAACGCCGCGUGCGGGAUGACGGCCUUCGGGUUGUAAACCGCUUUCGCCUGUGACGAAGCGUGAGUGACGGUAAUGGGUAAAGAAGCACCGGCUAACUACGUG
rnacentral:rRNA from 1 species